rnacentral:tRNA from 1 species
AGCUAAAAAACUUUGGAUAAGUAAUUACGUUGAAAGUAAUUUAAAAAGGUUAAACUCCUCUUUUAGCUU